GCAUGGCAAAGGAAGAAUGAGCUUCUGGGAGUCGUAGGAAUGGAUGCGUAGAGAAAGAAAUGAAUUAAGCUCGCUCGCUAGCUGGAUGGUCAUUCCACCAUGCUAGCUGCUUGAUUCUUUCCUAUGACGUCCAUUCCAACGAUUUCCAGUGUCUCCUUCCUUCGCCCAAACUUC
rnacentral:pre_miRNA from 1 species